rnacentral:lncRNA from 1 species
UGAGUCCACCUACAAAACCUAUUUUAUCUGCCCUUCCAAGGAAAAUCCAUGAAUUUCAUCUUAGAGUCCUCCUUGUUAGUUUGCCUCUUUAUAUCUGUCAAUUCUACUGUGAUUAUCCUUUACUAAACAGCUAAUAUCUACUUCAUAUAUAAAAUCAAGAAUAAAUUUACUAUCCUAGAAGUAAUCAGGUGUUAGUUUAAUUGCAUUAAUUAAGUUAUACAGCUGAGGUAAUUAGACACUGGCAUAGUCCUAAGAACAAAGAAACUUAGUUAUCUACUCCAUUGUACACAUUUCCCACUAUAUUCAAACCAGUCUUAUACCCAAAUAAAAGACUCGCUGUAUUGACUCCUUUGUGGCUAUCUGAAAGGAAAUAAAGUUAUGCAACUUUUAGACAUUCAAGGCAAUAAUUUCCUCAUCUUUAUCACUUCUUGCCAUUCAUCAAAUAUUAAAAUACCACUAGCUUAUACUGACUUUGUGUAUAAUGCACUCAAAUAACUAACUACAAUUAAAUUAACAGCAAACUGUAUGUUUUGAAGAAGUAAGUUGCUUAUGAUUUAUGAUCUAUGUAUAUAACUCAUCACCCAAUCCAGACCCUUUUUUAUCCAUGACUUCUUCUGUUAAUUUGUUAUAGUUCAGGGAAGAAAAAGGUAGAGAAAGCUUCAUUGGUGACAACAUCUAAAAACUUGUAAAUUUUGCUGAGAUUAGAACACUGACAGACUAAUGUCAACCUUAGAUGUUAACCACUGGUUUUAACUCUUUACACAUAAAGACUCUAUGCUCUACGUUAUGGUCUGAACUUAAUAGCAACCAUCUAGUUGCCCUAUUUAUUACACUUAUCAAAGUUCUUAAGAAUAAUGCAGCAUUUUAGCCAAGUAUUAGAAGGCUUAUGGCCUCUGGAAGGGGAGUUGAGGAAAAGGCAUUAGGAAAAGGAACUGUAGUAAUUUAGAGCUUGUGAAUGUCAAGUUUGAGUCACCAGAAUGACAGCCAGGUGGCAAAGCACAAUAGGCAACUAGAAUGUGAGUCUGGAUCACUUAGCUUUUUAAAGGUCAAAGCUAGAUAUAUACAUCUGUGAGUUAUCUGCAUGGAAGUGAUAGGAAAAACAUUAGAAAUGCCUGAGAUCAUC